rnacentral:sRNA from 1 species
ACCUAGCCCAGAUAGAAGUGGAAAUCCUUUUAUUUUUUUCUUUAGAAAAAUAAAAGAUUGAAACGGAUAGCUGGAAAUUGC